GAAGAUAGAGGCGCGUCUUUCAAAAGUAGCGGGAUGUAGGUUGCCAAAACCGACGAGAGCCUGUGAAAGGGAAAGUCGCCGAAGGAAAUGUGCGGCAAGCAUUUACCUGGUUAUGACCGUGAACAACGGCAUGACUGUCAUCAUGAGAGUAUGGUGGAGAGCUAUCA
rnacentral:ncRNA from 1 species